rnacentral:lncRNA from 7 species
GGGCAAGGGCAGUAGGGGAGUGGUCAGUGUAGGGAGGUCCUUGGGUUGAUUUUGCUGCGAUGGCGGUCAGGCAAGAACCCUGCACUGGAGCUUCCUAUAAACUGUAGCGGGAUUUCUGAAGCUAGUGGAACUUUGUAAAGGCCUCGUAGUGUUACCCUGCCUCGCCUCCUCGGUAGAGGUGUAUGGGAUUGGCCAUCUCUUGGCAGAUGGGUAACAUGACUUGUGGGUAAAGAUGCACAACCUCUGCAGAGUGUAAAACUGGUAUACUAGCCGUGCUCACGGUCAUGAGCGGCUCGGACCCUCACAUGAUUAAUUUAUGGAACUUAAACUUAACCUGUCAUUUCAUUGCAUUUGGGAUUAUUUUAUUAUUAUUAAGGUUUGGUAUUUACUUAAACUUAGUAAUUGCUAAUAAAAUUUUGACCAACUUAUAAAAGCAAUGCUCAGCCUCAGCCUUUAUUUCAUUGAUCAGCCUUACACUUCAUGAACUCCCACCUUUGGUGAGUUCAUGCCACAUUAUUCCCCACAACUUGUUGAGCGAUGAACGUAUGUGAGCUCACUCUUGCUGUCUCACACCCCCCCACAGGAGAAGAACAGGUGGUUCAGGAGGAGCCACAAGGCGAGGAGUAUGAUCUGAUCUAGGUGGCGUUUCUCAGUCGACAUUGGCGCCGACGAUCCUUAGUUCGUUUUAUAUUUAUCUUUAUUUUGUAAUAAGUCUUCCGCUAUGUAAUAAAUACUCUGAUGUUUUAUGACAUUUAUCUCUAUACACUCUGUUAU